UAGUUUGCCGUCUUUCAUAAU
ensembl:piRNA 21ur-2629 ncRNA